rnacentral:rRNA from 1 species
UACGUAGGGUCCGAGCGUUGUCCGGAUUUAUUGGGCGUAAAGAGCUCGUAGGCGGCUUGUCGCGUCGACUGUGAAAUCCCGCGGCUCAACUGCGGGUCUGCAGUCGAUACGGGCAGGCUAGAGUUCGGUAGGGGAGACUGGAAUUCCUGGUGUAGCGGUGAAAUGCGUAGAUAUCGAGAGGAACACCUGCGGCGAAGGCGGGUUGCUGGGCUGACACUGACGCUGAGGCGCGAAAGCUAGGGGAGCGAACGGG